GUUCAACGUGACUCAUACAUUUCAUAUCCUUAUCAACUAACUGCAUUUGGAAAUUAAAACGAAAGUUGAAAUAUUGUAUUUUAUCUAGUCAGAUUUGAUUUAAGGUUGUGGUGCACCCAGGAGAAAAACUUCUUCAAUUGAUAUUACGGGCACAUACGUUCGGAGUAACGGCUUUAGGGGAGAAACGCUAUUGAGAAAGGGACCAAGUACCGGUCAAGUAAAAUUUGAACAUGGCACCUGUAAUACCUGAGCCAAACACCGGUCCAACAGUUGUGUUUUCCACAGAGACUCCAGAUACGGUCCAAGGAGAGCUGCUCCCGCAACCACAUUUAUGAACAUUUGAUGGGCUCGUGUAUAAUAUCAAAAUCAUCCUGAGCCAGGUCGCAGAGUAUUGAUGAAUUGUUUUUGUUUACAUUAAUGCCGCAAUCUCACAGAUUGAACGUUUUGACAACUUUUUUUUUAUUUUUUGUCUUGGAACGAGCCAAUUUUUGCGAAAAUCCAUGGAAACCAGUUGUAGUAAAGUCUGCUGACAAAAUAUUAGAUCGCAGAUAUUUUUAUAUCUAAGUUCAAAAAUUGAUGUUUUAUGCACUUUUCUUACACCGUUAGUAACGGUUAAAGCCAUUAAACAUUACUUUUCGAACGGAAAUAUGAAAUCUACGAUCUGAUUUUUUGUCAGCAGUCUUAUAUCAUUGGUUUGCAGAUAUUUACGCAAAAUAUUGCUCUUUCCGAGACAAAAAAUAAAAAAGUUGUAAAAAUGGUAUAUCUGUGAGAGUGCAGCUUUAAAAUAAUUAUUCAUGACGAUUAUGGAUAAGUAAAAUAUUUUGUAGCUGUGUAUUUAUUGUCAACGAAAGGCUAUCAACAUCAUAUAGCUCUUUAGAUAAAGAUGGGGAAGAUGUUACAAAUUUUGUUAAAACUUGUGUGUAACCUAUUUGCUUUUUGUAUAAUCUAUAUCAUUGUUGAAAAUAUUGAUCAUGUUGAACGAGAAAGGCAAUACAAUAUGAUUAAAUCGAUCAGAUAAAAAUUA